rnacentral:lncRNA from 1 species
UUUGGGCCGACUUGGACUCGACUACAUUAAAAAUAGAAAACCUAAGUUACAUCCGACGUUUUGCUUUGAUGAUUGAAGAAGACUCGGGAGGAAUUUGACAGUGGGUUUGAGUGCAUUGGAAAAGAGACAGGAUAAGCUUUCCAACUAUUACUUAUACAGCCUAAACUGACUCCAUAUGAGGAACUUAUGCAUGUUUUCGUGUGGAUCUAUCUGGCUGCAACGAACCGAGUCCGAGUUGACUUCAACUUCUCUUAUCUUCUCUUAUCUUCUUUCCCCGUGAUUUGAUCACCAUGAGUCUGAGUUGAACAUGCC